CGAAACGCUUCGCGCCUUCAGCCAGGAAAUUCCUUCAGUGGAAACACAGUCAGCCUGGCCUUUUGGAAGCAGCUGUAAAAUAACCGGUCCUUGUGUUUCGGUUUGUGUUGGUAUAUCUCAGAGCUGGGCGGUCCGGAUGAUAACUUCGGGGCAAUGAGCACUUUCCCACUCCUAGGAGGUGGGAAAGCCCUGAAUUAGCAACAUCAACACCACCAACAAACAGUCCCGAGAAUCUUCUACAGUCUGGAGACACAAAUGAGCAAAUAAUCACCACAGAAACAAGGAGCUUCUGAUGAGAGGCAGGGCGUGAAGGAAAGAAGCUGAUAAGCACUACGUUAAAUAACAAUACAAGAAUAAGUGGUGUGCUGAUAAGUGGACAUCCUCGCCGUGUUCCCAAUCUUAAGGAAAAAGCGUUUGGUCUCUCACCGUGGGCAUCAUUUUAGCGGUAGGAGUUUGCAGAGUCUUUGUGACGUUGAGUCUGUUGCUGUGCUGAUUACCGGAGAAGGCGAUGGCACCCCACUCCAGUACUCUUGCCUGGAGAAUCCCAUGGAUGGAGGAGCCUGGUGGGCUGCAGUCCACGGGGUCGCGAAGAGUCGGACACGACUGAACGACUUCACUUUCACUUUUCACUUUCAUGCAUUGGAGAAGGAAAUGGCAACCCACUCCAGUGUUCUUGCCUGGAGAAUCCCAGGGACGGGGAGCCUGGUGGGCUGCUGUCUAUGGGGUCACAUAGAGUCGGACACGACUGAAGCGACUUAGCAGCGGCAGCAGCAGUGCUGAUUACAUUGUGGAUUUUCAAAUGCCGAACCAGUCUUGCAGACCCAGAGUCAACCCCGCUUGGUCAUGGUGGAUCAUUUUUUAAAAUACUAUGCUGCAAACAAUUUGCAAAUAUUUUGUUGGAAUUUUUGUAUCUAAGUUCACGAGAGGUAUUUGUUUGCAGUUUUCGUUUGUUUUACUGUCUUUGUCUGAUUUUGUAUUAAAGUAAUACUGGCUUCAGAACACACGAGUUAGGAAGGAUUCCUUCUGCUUCUAUCUUCUGGAAAAGACCGUGGUAUUAAUUCCUUUUAAAUGUUUGAUGAAACUCUCCAGUGAAGCUAUCUGAGACUGAUGAUUUCUUUAAGGGGACUUUUAAAUUAGAAAUUCCAUUUUUUAAUGGUUGUAGAAUGAUUUAGGGGGCUUGCAGGUGGCACUAGAAGUAAGGAACCCGCCCGCCAAUGCAGAAGACAUAAAAGAAG
ensembl:lncRNA